UUCCCAUGCCGAACACGGAAGUUAAGCGCUUCAGCGCCGAAAGUAGUUGGGGGUCUCCCCCUGUGAGGAUAGGACGUUGCCAGGC
rnacentral:rRNA from 2 species